AAAUCCCAAAGCUUAACUUCGGAACUGCAAUUAAAACUGCUCGACUAGAGUUUGAUAGAGGAAAGCGGAAUACAUAGUGUAGAGGUGAAAUUCGUAGAUAUUAUGUAGAACACCAGUUGCGAAGGCGGCUUUCUGGAUCAACACUGACGCUGAGGCGCGAAAGUAUGGGUAGCAAAGAGGAUUAGAUACCCUCGUAGUCCAUACCAUAAACGAUGAUUGCUAGAUGUUGGAAAUUUAUUUUCAGUAUCGCAGCUAACGCGUUAAGCAAUCCGCCUGGGGAGUACGACCGCAAGGUUAAAACUCAAAUGAAUUGACGGGGACCCGCACAAGCGUGGAUCAUGUGGUUUAAUUCGAAGAUACGCGCAGAACCUUACCAACCCUUGACAUGCCUGUCGCGAGUUUAGGAACUAGACUCUU
rnacentral:rRNA from 1 species